UAGUCAUUGUAAUCUUUAAAAAAAAAAAAAAAAUGAACUGACCUACAUAUAAAUACUAGUUUGAAAAAUGCUAAUAAGGAAUGUACACAGUCUAUUACAUAAACACAAAAACAACAUUGGAAGAAAAACUUUUGGCAAUGUUUAUGCAAAGUGUAAAAAAACAUGUAUAGCUACAUUCUAUUCUUAUUUUGGCAACUUGUAAAACUGUCAUUAAUAUUUUUGGCUUUGGGUUAUGUAAAUAUAUAUGUAUGUAAAUUUAAUACAUUUUUUAAAAGUUUAUUGUUAAAUGGACCAUUGUUAUAAUGUAUUUUAACCAUUACUGUAAGAAACUUAUAAAAAGAUUUCCCUAAUCUUUUUUUUUGUUCAUAUUUUGUAUGUCACAAAUGGAGUGAAUAAC